rnacentral:other from 1 species
CGGUUACUGCUCUUCUCGUGUCCGGCAACUUUUCCAGUGGCCGAUAAGCACUCCGAGGGGGCUGGCUCUGUCAAGGCCGUGGCCUUGAUAUCUGGCGCCCACCUGUAUCAAACAGGCUCUCGGGAAAACCACGCUGGCACGGCUGCUGUGGUUUCCGC